GUGUUUGACCUCAAAUCAGGUAGGAUUACCCGCUGAAC
rnacentral:rRNA from 1 species